rnacentral:rRNA from 1 species
AGCGAACGCUGGCGGCAGGCCUAACACAUGCAAGUCGAACGGACCCUUCGGGGUUAGUGGCGGACGGGUGAGUAACACGUGGGAACGUGCCUUUAGGUUCGGAAUAGCUCCUGGAAACGGGUGGUAAUGCCGAAUGUGCCCUUCGGGGGAAAGAUUUAUCGCCUUUAGAGCGGCCCGCGUCUGAUUAGCUAGUUGGUGAGGUAACGGCUCACCAAGGCGACGAUCAGUAGCUGGUCUGAGAGGAUGACCAGCCACACUGGGACUGAGACACGGCCCAGACUCCUACGGGAGGCAGCAGUGGGGAAUCUUGCGCAAUGGGCGAAAGCCUGACGCAGCCAUGCCGCGUGAAUGAUGAAGGUCUUAGGAUUGUAAAAUUCUUUCACCGGGGACGAUAAUGACGGUACCCUGAGAAGAAGCCCCGGCUAACUUCGUG